ACGGCUACCACAUCCAAGGAAGGCAGCAGGCGCGCAACUUACCCACUCCCGCACGGGGAGGUUGGUGACAAAAAAAACAAUACGGGACUCUCCGAGGCNNNNNNNUGGUUCCUUUGAUCGCUCUAACGUUACUUGGAUAACUGUGGCAAUUCUAGAGCUAAUACAUGCCAACGAGCGCUGACCUUCGGGGAUGCGUGCAUUUAUCAGACCCAAAACCCAUGCGGGGUGCCUCUCGGGGUGCCCCGGCCGCUUUGGUGACUCUAGAUAACCUCGAGCCGAUCGCAUGGCCCUCGUGGCGGCGACGUCUCAUUCGAAUGUCUGCCCUAUCAACUUUCGAUGGUACUUUCUGUGCCUACCAUGGUGACCACGGGUAACGGGGAAUCAGGGUUCGAUUCCGGAGAGGGAGCCUGAGAAACGGCUACCACAUCCAAGGAAGGCAGCAGGCGCGCAAAUUACCCACUCCCGACUCGGGGAGGUAGUGACGAAAAAUAACAAUACAGGACUCUUUCGAGGCCCUGUAAUUGGAAUGAGGACAUUUUAAACCCUUUAACGAGGAUCAAUUGGAGGGCAAGUCUUGUGCCAGCAGCCGCGGUAAUUCCAGCUCCAAUAGCGUAUAUUAAAGUUGUUGCAGUUAAAAAGCUCGUAGUUGGAUCUCAGGCGCAGGCGGGCGGUCCGGCUCGCGCCGGCUCACUGCCCGUUGUCUCCUGCCCUACCCGUCUGCCGGCUCUCUCCCGUGGGUGCUCUUCGCUGAGCGUCCCCGGUGGCCGGCGCGUUUCUUUUGAAAAAAAUAGAGUGUUCAAAGCAGGCUGAGCUCCCGGGAUAAUGGUGCAUGGAAUAAUGGAAUAGGACCUCGGUUCUAUUUUGUUUUGGUUUUCGGAACUGGAGGUAAUUUACUUUGAAAAAAUUAGAGUGUUCAAAGCAGGCCGAGCUGCCUGAAUAAUGGAGCAUGGAAUAAUGGAAUAGGACCUCGGUUCUAUUUUGUUGGUUUUCGGAACUGGGGGUAAUGAUUAACAGAGGGAGACAAACGGGGGGAUUCGUAUUGCGGCGUUAGAGGUUAAAUUCUUGGAUCGCCGCAAGACGAACUACUGCGAAAGCAUUUGUCAAGAAUGUUUUCAUUAGUCAAGAACGAAAGUCAGAGGCGCGAAGACGAUCAGAUACCGUCGUAGUUCUGACCAUAAACUAUGCCACCUGGCCAUCCGCAGGAGCUGCUUCGAUGACUCUGCGGGCGGCCUCCGGGAAACCAAAGGUUUUGGGUUCCGGGGGAAGUAUGGUUGCAAAGCUGAAACUUAAAGGAAUUGACGGAAGGGCAACCACCAGGAGUGUGGAGCCUGCGCUUAAUUUGACCCAACACACGGGAAAACUCACCCGGGAAGGGCACCACCAGGAGUGGAGCCUGCGGCUUAAUUUGACUCAACACGGGAAACCUCACCCGGCCCGGACACGGAAAGGAUUGACAGAUUGAUAGCUCUUUCUCGAUUCUGUGGGUGGUGGUGCGUGGCCGUUCUUAGUUGGUGGAGCGGUUUGUCUGGUUAAUUCCGAUAACGAACGAGACUCUAGCCUAUUAAAUAGUUCGCCGGUUCCUCGAUGCGCCGGCGCAACUUCCUAGAGGGACGAGUGGCGUUUAGCCACACGAAAUUGAGCAAUAACAGAUCUGUGAUGCCCUUAGAUGUCCGGGGCCGCACGCGCGCUACACUGAAGGAAUCAGCGGUGGAUGCCUCCCUGGCCCGAAAGGGUUGGGAAACCCGUUGAAUCUCCUUCGUGCUAGGGAUUGGGGCUUGUAACUGUUCCCCAUGAACGAGGAAUUCCCAGUAAGCGCGAGUCAUAAGCUCGCGUUGAUUACGUCCCUGCCCUUUGUACACACCGCCCGUCGCUACUAUCGAUUGAGCGGUUCAGUGAGGGCCUCGGAUUGGUCUCGGUCUGGCGUGCAAGCGCCGGCACCGUUGGCCGAGAAGACGCUCGAACUCGAUCGCUUGGAGAAAGUAAAAGUCGUAACAAGGUUUCCGUAGGUGAACCUGCGGAAG
rnacentral:rRNA from 1 species